rnacentral:rRNA from 1 species
UGAGGAAUAUUGGUCAAUGGGCGCGAGCCUGAACCAGCCAAGUAGCGUGAAGGAUGAAGGUCCUACGGAUUGUAAACUUCUUUUAUAAGGGAAUAAAGUCACCCACGCGUGGGUGUUUGUAUGUACCUUAUGAAUAAGCAUCGGCUAACUCCGUGCCAGCAGCCGCGGUAAUACGGAGGAUGCGAGCGUUAUCCGGAUUUAUUGGGUUUAAAGGGAGCGUAGACGGGUCGUUAAGUCAGCUGUGAAAGUUUGGGGCUCAACCUUAAAAUUGCAGUUGAUACUGGCGUCCUUGAGUACGGUUGAGGCAGGCGGAAUUCGUGGUGUAGCGGUGAAAUGCUUAGAUAUCACGAAGAACCCCGAUUGCGAAGGCAGCCUGCUAAACCGCCACUGACGUUGAGGCUCGAAAGUGUGGGUAUCAAACAGGAUUAGAUACCCUGGUAGUCCACACGGUAAACGAUGGAUACUCGCUGUUGGCGAUAGACUGUCAGCGGCUUAGCGAAAGCGUUAAGUAUCCCACCUGGGGAGUACGCCGGCAACGGUGAAACUCAAAGGAAUUGACGGGGGCCCGCACAAGCGGAGGAACAUGUGGUUUAAUUCGAUGAUACGCGAGGAACCUUACCCGGGCUUGAAUUGCAGACGAAUUGCUUGGAAACAGGCAAGCCGCAAGGCGUCUGUGAAGGUGCUGCAUGGUUGUCGUCAGCUCGUGCCGUGAGGUGUCGGCUUAAGUGCCAUAACGAGCGCAACCCUCGUGUCCAGUUACUAGCAGGUUAUGCUGAGGACUCUGGACAGACUGCCAUCGUAAGAUGUGAGGAAGGUGGGGAUGACGUCAAAUCAGCACGGCCCUUACGUCCGGGGCUACACACGUGUUACAAUGGGGGGUACAGCAGGCAGCUACCGGGCGACCGGAUGCCAAUCCCGAAAGCCUCUCUCAGUUCGGACUGGAGUCUGCAACCCGACUCCACGAAGCUGGAUUCGCUAGUAAUCGCGCAUCAGCCACGGCGCGGUGAAUACGUUCCC